rnacentral:rRNA from 1 species
UACAGAGGUCUCAAGCGUUGUCCGGAUUCAUUGGGCGUAAAGAGCUCGUAGGCGGCUUGGUAAGUCGGAUGUGAAACCUCCAGGCUCAACCUGGAGUCGCCAUCCGAUACUGCCAUGGCUAGAGUCCGGUAGGGGCCCACGGAAUUCCUGGUGUAGCGGUGAAAUGCGCAGAUAUCAGGAGGAACACCGAUGGCGAAGGCAGUGGGCUGGGCCGGCACUGACGCUGAGACGCGAAAGCGUGGGGAGCGAACAGG